rnacentral:rRNA from 1 species
CGAUCUUCGGAUCGGAAACGACCGGCAAAUGGGUGAGUAAUACAUAUGCAACCUGCCCGUAGCUGGAGAAUAGCGUCCGGAAACGGAAAUUAAUACUCCAUAAUAUUCUAGUAUCGCAUGUUAUUAGAAUUAAAGCUUCGGUGGCUACGGAUGGGCAUAUGUCCCAUUAGCUUGUUGGUGAGGUAACUGCUCACCAAGGCUACGAUGGGUAGGGGGUCUGAGAGGAUGAUCCCCCACACUGGUACUGAGACACGGACCAGACUCCUACGGGAGGCAGCAGUGAGGAAUAUUGGUCAAUGGGCGAAAGCCUGAACCAGCCAUGCCGCGUGCAGGAUGACAGUCCUACGGAUUGUAAACUGCUUUUCUGCAAGAAGAAAUGUUCCGACGUGUCGGGAUUUGACGGUAUUGCAGGAAUAAGCAUCGGCUAACUCCGUGCCAGCAGCCGCGGUAAUACGGAGGAUGCAAGCGUUAUCCGGAUUCAUUGGGUUUAAAGGGUGCGUAGGCGGAUUAGAUAGUCAAAGGUGAAAGCCUGCAGCUUAACUGUAGAAGUGCCUUUGAUACUGCUAAUCUUGAGUACAGUUGAGGCGAGUGGAAUGUGUAGUGUAGCGGUGAAAUGCAUAGAUACUACACAGAACGCCAACUGCGAAGGCAGCUCGCUAAGCUGUUACUGACGCUCAGGCACGAAAGCGUGGGGAGCGAACAGGAUUAGAUACCCUGGUAGUCCACGCUGUAAACUAUGAUCACUAGCUGUUGGCGAUAAAUUGUCAGUGGCUCAGCGAAAGCGUUAAGUGAUCCACCUGGGGAGUACGAUCGCAAGGUUGAAACUCAAAGGAAUUGACGGGGGCCCGCACAAGCGGUGGAACAUGUGGUUUAAUUCGAUGAUACGCGAGGAACCUUACCUGGGCUUAAAUGUAGCGCGACGUCUCGAGAAAUCGGGAUUCCCUUCGGGGCGAACUACAAGGUGCUGCAUGGUUGUCGUCAGCUCGUGCCGUGAGGUAUCGGGUUAAGUCCCAUAACGAGCGCAACCCUUAUUGUUAGUUGCCAGCGGAUAAUGCCGGGGACUCUAACAAAACUGCCCCUGUCAACGGGAGGAAGGUGGGGAUGACGUCAAAUCAGCACGGCCCUUACGUCCAGGGCUACACACGUGUUACAAUGGCUGGAACAAAGGGCA